rnacentral:lncRNA from 1 species
ACAUAUUCUUUUGAGAGUAGUAGGGCACACUGAAAAGAAGCCAAAAAUAUCGGUCUUAACAACAUCAGACACCUUAUAUUCAAGGCAGGUAAUCCUAUUAUCACUGAAAAGCAUUUUUUCAUGAUGCCAUGGUGGAACCAAUCAAAUCUAAAUAAUCUGUUUUGUGAUGUUCUUAAUAUGAAUUAAAAGGCUAGAAGUGCAAUUCGCUUAUAGUUGGACAAGGUAAAAGAAGAGAAGGAAACCAUGUAAAAUUUAAAAGCAUUCGAAAAUGACGAGGGGAAUCAAGAAGUGGCAAAUGCAAGUUCAUAGGUAGGAAUAGUCGUAGAUAUCUGCAUGUUCGACAGGAAUACUUCAUAACAAGAUUAAAUUUCAUUAUCUUAUUCUUUUGUGUUAAAGCAAAUAAUGACGUCCUCAAAAUUUAUUAACACCGGAAACAUAUCAUGUUCGCAUGUAGAUCCAAAGUGACUAAUUCACUUCCAAAAGAUAGAACGAAGAAGUCACGAUAAUAUUACCUCCAAGGCUUCUGGCUGCAUCUUUUAGGCUGCCGGCAAAAUAUUUCUGAAGCUCUUGCAAACUGACAG